rnacentral:rRNA from 1 species
UGCAGAGACUGCAAGCGUUAUUCGGAUUCACUGGGCGUAAAGGGUGCGCAGGCGGCCAAGUGUGUGAGGCGUGAAAGCCUGGAGCUUAACUCCAGAAUUGCACCUCAAACUACUUGGCUAGAGCAUUGGAGAGGGUAGUAGAAUUCAUGGUGUAGCAGUGAAAUGCGUAGAGAUUUGGAGGAAUACCGGUGGCGAAGGCGACCCCCUGGGAUAAAACUGACGCUCAGGCACGAAAGCGUGGGUAGCAAACAGG